rnacentral:rRNA from 1 species
GAUGAACGCUAGCUACAGGCUUAACACAUGCAAGUCGAGGGGCAGCAUGAACAAAGCUUGCUUUGUUUGAUGGCGACCGGCGCACGGGUGCGUAACACGUAUCCAAUCUGCCCGCGGCUCGGGGAUAGCCCAUCGAAAGAUGGAUUAAUACCCGAUGGUGUGGUUUCUCCGCAUGGGGUUUCCACUAAAAGGUUUUCCGGCCGCGGAUGAGGAUGCGUAUGAUUAGGUAGUAGGCGGGGUAACGGCCCACCUAGCCUUCGAUCAUUAGGGGUUCUGAGAGGAAGGUCCCCCCANACUGGAACUGAGACACGGUCCAGACUCCUACGGGAGCAGCAGUGAGGAAUAUUGGGUCCAAAUGGGGCGAGAGCCUGAACCAGCCAAGUAGCGUGAAGGAA